GGUUAUUAUCUUGAAUAUUAUUAUAGAUAGAGGUAAACUGUAAACAGCAAUAAUGUUCAGCAAAGUAAGAUCUACAAAUAAGUCAACAUGACCAAAAUGGUCAGUUGACCCCUUGAGGAGUUAUUGUCCUUUAUAGUAAAUUUUUGUCAAUUUUUCAUAACUUUUUGUUAUCUUGUACAAAAAUCUUCUCCUCUGAAACUACUGAGACAAAUUUAACCAAACUGGUCCACAAUCAUCAUUAGGGUAUGUAGUUUUUAAAAUGUGUCCGAUGACCCUGCCUGCGAACCAAGAUGGCCGACAUGGUUAAAAAUAGUACAUAGGGUAAAAUGCAGUUUUGGCUAAAAUCUCAGAAACCAAAGCAUUUAAAGCAAAUUUGACGAGAUUAAUUUCUUCGUUAGGUCAAAGUCUAUCUGCCCUGAAAUUUUCAGACUAAUCAGGCAUUCCGUUGUUGGGUUGCUGCCCCAGAAUUGGUAAUUUUCAGAAAAUUUUGCAGCUUUUGGUUAUUAUCUUGAAUAUUAUUAUAGAUACAGAUAAACUGUAAACAGCAAUAAUGUACAGCAAAGUAAGACCUACAGAUAAGUCAACAUGAUCGAAAUGGUCAGUUGACCCUUUAAGGAGUUAUUGCCCUUUAUAGUCAAUUUUAAACAAUUUUCAUAAAUUUUGUAAAUUUUGUAAAUUUUUUUUCGUUUAUGAUAUGCCCAUAGACCAAGGUGAGCGACACAGGCUCUUUAGAGCCUCUAGUUUAGACUUAUACCUCUAAUUUGAAAUACACAAUCAUCACAGUAGCAUAAGCUAUGACAAAUAAGAUGAUUUUAAAUUUGAAUUUAUCCAUUCCCCCACCUAAGUAGCAAUACACCAACUUCACCUGCAUAUGGAAUACACAUUUC
rnacentral:lncRNA from 1 species